rnacentral:rRNA from 1 species
UACGUAGGGACCGAGCGUUGUCCGGAUUCAUUGGGCGUAAAGGGCUCGUAGGUGGCCAACUAAGUCAGACGUGAAAUCCCUCGGCUUAACCGGGGAACUGCGUCUGAUACUGGAUGGCUUGAGUUUGGGAGAGGGAUGCAGAAUUCCAGGUGUAGCGGUGAAAUGCGUAGAUAUCUGGAGGAACACCGGUGGCGAAGGCGGCAUCCUGGACCAACACUGACGCUGAGGAGCGAAAGCCAGGGGAGCAAACGGG